CCUCAGCCUCCAGUGCAACUUCAGGAGAUGGCUUGACAAAGGACACGGUAUAAGGACCUCGAUUGAAGACAGAAGCUGGUACUCCUUGUGCAGAAUGUGAGCCAGGAGACUAUCGCAGGAUUGCAGCAUUGUAACAGCGCAGAAGGAGGCCUUUCAGCCCAUCCUAUCUGCACCGGCUCUCCAAAUGAGCAAUUCACCCAGUGCCACUCCCCCGUCCUCUCCCUGUAACCCUGCACAUUCUUCCUUUCCAAAUAAUGACCUAACUGCCUUUUGAAAGCUCUGAUUCACCCUGCCUCCCCCACAUUCUCAGGCAGCGCAUUCCCUAACCACUUGAUGCAUGAAAAAGUUCCUUCUCAUGUCUGCCUUGCUUCUUUUACCAAUCACCUUAAAUCCGUGUCCCUCUGGUUUUCGAUUCCUUCCGUCAAUGGGAACAGUUUCUCCCUAUCUGCUCUGUCCCAGACUCCUCGUGAUUUUGAACACCUCGAUCAAAUCUCCUCUCAACCUCCUUUUCUCCAAGGAGAACAGUCCCAGCUUCUCCAAUAUUUGGUUUGAAAAGAGCAUUCAGCGUCGAAGAUUGAAGGAGGAAUGAGCACCCAUGAUUGGAAAUCCAGAUGAGUGAGCUUAGCUUUUAUUUUCCUGGACUGUCGGACUAGUUGGUGGGGAGCUUUCAUCCUCCAGCCCGCCCCAGCCUGUCCAAAAUUUUACAGUGGGAUGGGCGAAGCCUAGAAGCCAAGGCCAGCAAGGCGGCCCUUGCCCCAGUUGGGGCCCUUAAGGGGGCAAUUAAUGAUGAAUUGACUGCUGCACUUUGCUAACUCCAUCACAUCAACAAAUGAUGCCAAACGUGGCAUCGGAGAUGGUUGGGAGAGCUGUACAUUAAAGCCAAUAAUUUCAAUCAGGUUUAUAUCUAUAUUAACAAAAGCCUAAUUCUUCUGUGUGUGAGGAUCCAUAUUUUCUAUUAAAGUUUAUUUGGUUCCUA